rnacentral:rRNA from 1 species
UUCGCAAUGCCCGAAAGGGUGAACGAGCGACGCCGCGUGCGGGAUGAAGGGCUUCGGCUUGUAAACCGCUUUUCUUUGGGAAGAAGGUCCGUGUCGUGAACUCGGGCUCGACGGUACCAGAGGAAUAAGCCCCGGCUAACUCCGUGCCAGCAGCCGCGGUAAGACGGGGGGGGCAAGCGUUGUUCGGAAUUAUUGGGCGUAAAGGGCGCGUAGGCGGAUCGGUAUGUCUGGCGUGAAAUCUCCACCGCUCACCGGGGAGAGGUCGCUGGAAACUGCCGAUCUGGAGUUUGGCAGAGGGUCAUGGAAUUCCAGGUGUAGCGGUGGAAUGCGUAGAUAUCUGGAAGAACACCGGUGGCGAAGGCGGUGGCCUGGGCCAAAACUGACGCUGAGGCGCGAAAGCUAGGGGAGCAAACGGGAUUAGAUACCCCGGUAGUCCUAGCCGUAAACGAUGGGCACUAAGUAGAGGGGUUUU